rnacentral:rRNA from 1 species
CCUACGGGAGGCAGCAGUGAGGAAUAUUGGUCAAUGGACGAGAGUCUGAACCAGCCAAGUAGCGUGAAGGAUGACUGCCCUAUGGGUUGUAAACUUCUUUUAUAUGGGAAUAAAAUGUUCCACGUGUGGGAUUUUGUAUGUACCAUAUGAAUAAGGAUCGGCUAACUCCGUGCCAGCAGCCGCGGUAAUACGGAGGAUCCGAGCGUUAUCCGGAUUUAUUGGGUUUAAAGGGAGCGUAGGUGGAUUGUUAAGUCAGUUGUGAAAGUUUGCGGCUCAACCGUAAAAUUGCAGUUGAAACUGGCAGUCUUGAGUACAGUAGAGGUGGGCGGAAUUCGUGGUGUAGCGGUGAAAUGCUUAGAUAUCACGAAGAACUCCGAUUGCGAAGGCAGUUCACUGGACUGAAACUGACACUGAGGCUCGAAAGUGUGGGUAUCAAACAGGAUUAGAUACCCGUGUAGUC